GACGAACGCUGGCGGCGUGCCUAAUACAUGCAAGUUGAGCGCUGAAGGUUGGUACUUGUACCAACUGGAUGAGCAGCGAACGGGUGAGUAACGCGUGGAGAAUCUGCCUUUGAGCGGGGGACAACAUUUGGAAACGAAUGCUAAUACCGCAUAAAAACUUUAAACACAAGUUUUAAGUUUGAAAGAUGCAAUUGCAUCACUCAAAGAUGAUCCCGCGUUGUAUUAGCUAGUUGGUGAGGUAAAGGCUCACCAAGGCGAUGAUACAUAGCCGACCUGAGAGGGUGAGCGGCCACAUUGGGACCGAGACACGGCCCAAACUCCUACGGGAGGCAGCAGUAGGGAAUCUUCGGCAAUGGACGAAAGUCUGACCGAGCAACGCCGCGUGAGUGAAGAAGGUUUUCGGAUCGUAAAACUCUGUUGGUAGAGAAGAACGUUGGUGAGAGUGGAAAGCUCAUCAAGUGACGGUAACUACCCAGAAAGGGACGGCUAACUACGUG
rnacentral:rRNA from 1 species